CCAGAAGCCACAGGCUGCUAAGCAAAAGCAGUAAUCGGGCAGCAAGCAGAUGGGAUAAGAUGACUGGGGUUUGGCCAGAUGAUUUGGUGCUGGGGCUCCCUACACAACUACCACCAGGAAGGAGGAGCCCACACAUUUCUGGAAUCUGCCACUUUUAAUCGUGAACGGAGGCUCGGCCUGCCCUGAAGCCAACCUUGACAGAGUGGACCAGCGCCAGGAAACCAAGGCAGCACAGAUUCAGGUCAGCCCAGGAGCCUGAAGUCAUAUCCAAGAGGCUGCCAUGAAAUGAGGAGACAUCUUGGCCACGGGAUUCUUUUCCCUUAAGGCAAAGGACUCUGGGUGUCCUUCACUCCUAAACCAAGCCUCCUUUGCUGGAAGUUCUGCACCCUUCCUGGGCAUCCUGGGAGCAUGGCAUUGGCAUUAGCUGAUACUCGGAUGCCUUUUGCCUGGAUCAGCCAAAAACCCACAGGUAGGGCUGCUGCCUCUACCAGGAGACCAGAAGCCUGACAAGCUAAGGAUGCUCCGUCUCCUCAGACAAGAAGGAUGCUGGGCGAGCUCAGUACAGAACAGGAGUCACAGCCAGAGUUGCCACCAAGUGUACUUUAUUGACUCCACUGUGGACAGAUAUACGAAGGGCAGAAUGGAUCAAGGAAGAGAUCGUUAAGUCUGACUUCAGAGCCCCUGUUCACCUCUAGAUGUACAACCUUCACCAUCGACCAGAGCCUCAAAAGCUGGAGCAGGUCACACAUCCGUAAUGCCGGCACUUGGGAACUGUAAGCAGGAGGAUCCAUUCAAGGUCCACUCUGGACUACGUGAGAUCUUGUCUCAAAUAAAUGAAUAACAAGUA
rnacentral:antisense_RNA from 1 species